UUUAUUUGUAAAUUUAUAGACAUUUAUAUCUGAAAAAAGUAGUUGAAUUAAAAUUCAAAACCACAGGUCGAUAAUAAUAAGAUAACUGAUUAUAUCAUUAAAUAUAACAGAUUCCAGAUAAUGUGAAUAUCGGCAUAUAUUACGCUUUAAAAUCAACUAAAAACGUACAAGGUUAACAAUUUGUUGCGUUCAUUUACGCACUCUGUAAAUUAAUUACGCAAAGAAUGUGAAUUUGAAGUGUUUUUGGUGUGUACUUUCAUUUUCGAAACAGCUGAUUGACCGCUUCCAUUUAACAGUUGAACUGUGUAUCUAUUUCCAAUUAAUACCUGUCAAGAUACUUUCAACUAUUUUUUUCUGUAAACCAGUCAAAUUAUGUCUUUAUUGCUUACGUGCUUGAUAAAAUAAUUGUUCUAUUUUCUUGAUAAUUGUAAGGAUUUAUUAAUACACAUGUUGUGCAUGGUUGCUUCAAGGGCUAAUCAAAUUGACAUUUUUUUCACACAACUCGCCGGGGAAACUUGAUAAACUUACCUCAUUACCUUUGUUGAUAUACACAAUCAAUAAAAACAACUUGUCUUUAGCAGCGGAAUUUUAUAUACAUCAUAUUAAGUCAUCAUUACUUUUAUUGUUUAACAUCUAUAUGAUUAUUACACUAAUAGUAUUCAUGGAAUUGGUAGAGGAAUAGGCAGUGGCUAGCAGUAUGAACCAGUAUUGGCUGUAUGCGAGUCAAAUACGACUAGCAUAUACUCACUGUUGAGGCUAGCUGUACAGCAUUUUAAAAAUGAGUUGCCUAAAACAAUAAUAUGCAAACUUGUUUUUCUAAAAGAAGAUUUUAUUGAAUAUCAUAUACAAUUUCAGUCAAUGCGAAAGUAACAAGAAAUUCCACCCGCAAGGACUGGGAUCCUUAGACUGAUGAUUUUUCCCCGCCCAGACUCUGACAGGUUUUUUUGUAGGUAUGGGGGAGGGAUAUUGCCAUAAUUAUAAAGAAAAAUAUUUAGCAUAUAUGAAUUAUCAGACUCAACUAUAAGAUACUAAAGAAAAAAAUAUACAGAAACAUAAUUGAUAAAACAUUAGCAUAAUUCACAAGAAAACAAUUCAUGUACAUCUUUCAAAGGUUUAAUUUUGAAGAUUGGAGAAAAAAUAUGUUUUGGUAAAGAAAUUAUCCGAGACAAGAUGGUGGCUUACAUUACUUAGCAAAAACUGGUCGUAUCCUGCGGUGAUUUUGGUUAUCUUGGUCUGUGAAUACAAGCACAAAUUAAAAAGAUAGAUCGAUCUUGGAAGCUUUGCAUAUUUCAGAAGGCCAAAAAUUGUUUCAAACUGGCUGAAAUUUUAUUCGGACAUGACAACUGACUGUAUCGAAAUUUAUCUCGACCCUACUGAUUUUUAGUUGGCGAGGUCCGAGGACCGACAGCCUUUUGCACAGACUGCAAUUUACAGUUGGUAUAGUAAUUUGUAGUGUUUGAUGAUCAAAGGAUUUUUUUUCCUUCUGAAAAUCAUGGAGUUGAAUAAUUUAAAUCUGUGUGAAAGCGCAAAGAGAAAGAGACUGAAAAUUACUUUAUUAUAUUUUUAUGGACAUUAUUAUAUAGAUACAUUUGUAAUCAAACAUGUGGGUCAAUUUCCAACAGAAGUUGAAUUAUGACAAAGUAUUUUUAAUAAUUUUAUUUCACUUUUAGCUACUUGAAAAUUUCAUGCUGGAUGUUUGCUUACCAUUACAUUUUGCAUAAGAGCUCUAUGAUUGACAUUAAAGUCCACGGGCCAAUUCAUUUCUGAUAUAUCUUUCCGAUAUCUUGUUAUAAUAUAAAAGGCUGAAUGUCAUCGUAGAAUUAUUAGGAAAAAAUAUAUAUGUUCAUUCUUUGUAAAAAUGUUAGAAGACUUGCAAGUUACCAAUUUUAUCAUUGCAUUUAUUUAUUAUUGAAAAAAUGCUGAACGGCUAUCCUCAACAGUGUGUAACUAUAGGCUAGAACUUUCAGUUUGCAUUUAGGGUCAAAAUAUAUUGUUACAGUCAUGACAGCUUUCCCGUUGCUGUCAACAAACUUUAACCUUUCAUAACUUUUCAGAUCUUGGUGUAUUGUCUUCAUACUUGGCCACAACAACCGUUCAAAUAGACCAGACUAAACUUGACCUCCAUAUAAACAUUCAAGAUGGUCGGCCUACAUGUCAGAUUUGUAAAUGUGAACGGCACGAUAUCGAUUUUAAGGAUGCUUUAGGGUCAAUGAGGAUGAAAUAAAAUGUGAGACUGUCAAUCUGACAAACCUUGCAGUGAAUAAAUGGAAACAGUGGCGUUUGUAUGAUAGAACAGUAAUAGCAGGAGUGAUAAGGACAGAUGCAUGUAGAUGUGUCUUCAUGUCGGAAACACUAGAGAAAUUGACACAUUUGGGUUUUUCAAAAUUAAAGAAAUUGGAAUACCACGAGACUGCUUGCCAUUUGCAAUGUUGGAAUGUGUGAUGUCGAAAGCCUCAUGAAUAUAGUAACUUGACUUUAUUAAUCUAAUAAGAAAAAGAAAAGACAUUGAGGAGAAAACUAGUCACCAGUCUUUCACCAAGAACAUGAGAUAACUUUCCAAUAUUUGAAAUAUCAUAAUAUGUAUAGAACUUGAAUGAGCGACAUAAUAUGUAUUGAUAUUGAAUGAGCGACCAGUUUUUCACCAGGAAAAUAAGAUCACUUAUCUAUUUUUGAAAUAUGUAUGAACAUAACUCUAUCAACUUCAAGGUGAGAGUUUAUCAUGAAGAACAUGAGAUAACUUGUGUAUGAACAGAACCACAUUUGAAUAUAGAGGCGCCAGUUCAUCACCAAGAAGAUGAGCUAACUUAUCAAUGUUUGAAAUCUGUUAUACCCCCGCACAACA